CGGGAUGUAGCGCAGUGGUAGCGCAUCUGUUUUGGGUACAGAGGGUCGCUGGUUCAAAUCCAGUCAUCCCGA
rfam:Leptospira wolffii serovar Khorat str. Khorat-H2 ctg1134730598558, whole genome shotgun sequence.